rnacentral:rRNA from 1 species
UACUAGAGUAGCACUCGCAUAUCAAUAAGCGGAGGAAAAGAAACUAACAAGGAUUCCCCUAGUAACGGCGAGUGAAGCGGGAAGAGCUCAAAUUUGAAAUCUUAAAGGGUUUCCCUUUACGAACUGUAGUUUAAAGAAGUGUUUUCUGAUGAGGUUUUGGUAAAAGUUCUUUGGAAUAGGACAUCAUAGAGGGUGAGAAUCCCGUAUUUGACCUUUACUUUCAACUUUGUGAUACACUUUCAAAGAGUCGGAUUGUUUGGGAAUGCAGUCCAAAAUGGGUGGUAAAUUUCAUCUAAAGCUAAAUAUUGGCGAGAGACCGAUAGCGAACAAGUACCGUGAGGGAAAGAUGAAAAGAACUUUGAAAAGAGAGUUAAACAGUACGUGAAAUUGUCAAAAGGGAAGCGUUUGACACCAGUGUCGUUUUUCUGAAAAUCAAUUAAAGAACUGUUUAUGCUAAGUUGUUUAGACUUUAUCAGCUAUCUGUUUAGUUUUGAGCUUUUCUUUAAUGCACUUUUCAGUUAACAAGUCAACAUCAAUUUCUUUUGCUGUAAAAAAGCUUGAGGAAGGUGGCUUGAGAUUCGUCUUAAGUGUUUAUAGCCUCUUGCCUAUGCAGUCGGAGAGAUUGAGGUCUGCAGCGUAGAUCCUUCGGGGCUAAAUGCAUUUGUGCUAAGUUAUAGCAUUUUAUAGACAACUUGUUGACUAUGAUUUGUCUUGUAGCUUACUCGCUUAUGUUAUUUUACCUACGCUUAGGAUGUUGAUAUCGCGCUCUCACUG